rnacentral:lncRNA from 1 species
CUAGUGCCUUGGCAAACCGCCUAAGCAGUAUAAGUAAUUGGAUCAAGAGUUACUACAAUGUUUUCAUUCUUUCCAAGUACACAUUCUCCGAAACAAAGAUUCUCCUCCGAAUUAAUUAAUAACUGCUCUAAUCUUCAAACUUACCUGUUUUACCUUUAACCAUGGGGCUUUACAACUCUUGCAUGAGUCUUGAGCAAUCAGAAGACAGAACAAUCAGGUCAAGCACUAUGUCUCAAAUUCUUUAUAAAACCAUUAUUCCAGAGUUUUUUUUAUAAGUUUUUAGAAUAAAACUCAGAGCUUAAUUGUAUGACACCCUCAAGUCUCUCAAUGUAUGUGGUAUUUAUAGUUCUCUCUUGAGGCAUUAAUGAUGUUAUGCCUCCUAUAGCUAAAGGUAUAUAUGGUAGAGCUUAUAGGAGUGUCAAUAACAAGGAUUGAUAUACUUGCAAUGCAUGUAUUGUAAAGUCAACUAAUGGAUCCAUAGAGAAUCGAGGCAUACAAUCAAACCAAGAUGUGCAUGUGUAUGGAAUAUGGUGGAUAGGUGCAUUUGUGGUAUUUGUGGCUAAUUUCUAUUUUUGGAAAUAGGUCUCCACUGAAACUUUUCAUGAAAGGCAUGGGCUAUUUUUUUUAUUUUUAUUUAGGGAGGCGGGCAUAUAGUACCCAUUGUUUUAAAUACUGGGACACUUGUCCGUCUUUUACUCCCUAUUUUCUCUUCUUCUCUCUAUUUUUUGAAUAGCUUUUUGCAUAGCCACAUGCAUCCUUUAAGUAGAAUAAGAAUCAAGAGAUAUAAUCAGGACUUACAGCAUUAAAGACAGGGGUUAUCCUAUAGGGUGAUUGUAUAUUUUUGUGUCCUCUCCCAAUGUAGGAGGAGAACAUGAUUGAUGAACAUGGAACAUAAAUGAUUGCGAUUACUCCCCAUGUGGGAAUAAUGCAUAUGUGAACUAGAGUGUGUAUGUGAUCUUAGUUUUAAAAGCAUGAUAACACUCUCAUAAGGUAUACGACAAAGGUUGACUGAACUUAAUGCGGAGCAAGCAGCAUAAAUGUGCAAAAGUUUUCCUAACUCUAAAUGGAUAUUAUAUAUGGCUUUGGUAGGAAUUCAUACAUUGUCAUACAAAAGCUCAUCAUGUAGGAUUUUGGGUUUUCAAAAUAAAUCUCCAAAACUUAGUAAUGCUAGGAAUAAGAUAAAU